rnacentral:rRNA from 1 species
CAGAUUGAACGCUGGCGGCAGGCCUAACACAUGCAAGUCGAACGGGUAACAGGAAGAAGCUUGCUCUUGCUGACGAGUGGCGGACGGGUGAGUAAUGUCUGGGAAACUGCCUGAUGAGGGGGAUAACUACUGGAAACGGUAGCUAAUACCGCAUAACGUCGCAAGACCAAAGAGGGGGACCUUCGGGCCUCUUGCCAUCGGAUGUGCCCAGAUGGGAUUAGCUUGUUGGUGGGGUAACGGCUCACCAAGGCGACGAUCCCUAGCUGGUCUGAGAGGAUGACCAGCCACACUGGAACUGAGACACGGUCCAGACUCCUACGGGAGGCAGCAGUGGGGAAUAUUGCACAAUGGGCGCAAGCCUGAUGCAGCCAUGCCGCGUGUAUGAAGAAGGCCUUCGGGUUGUAAAGUACUUUCAGCGGGGAGGAAGGGAGUAAAGUUAAUACCUUUGCUCAUUGACGUUACCCGCAGAAGAAGCACCGGCUAACUCCGUGCCAGCAGCAGC